UGGUCUGCGUCCCUCAACCAGGUGGGCCCAGCUCAUCCUGGCUCCGAUGUCACCAACGUCUGUGGGUCCCCUUCGGUCCGGCAGGGGAAAGCAGGUGCUCAGUGGCAGGAGAAGGAGAGUCCACGGCUGGGUGCUGCUCUUAUGAGCCUGGCGUCACCACAGGGAGUGUGUCACAGUACCCCCAUAACCCACCCCUUUUACCAGAGAUGCCCUCUGGAAGCUGCCCAUUCCGGGGCCGCUACUCAGUGCAAUUCUUCUGGUGACUAAUGACAGUGCCCACCACCCCCAGCUGAGGCCUCAGCAGCUGCAUGGUGGAACCUUUUGCAGACAGGCUUCCUGGUGGCCAACUUGUUCCUCAGCGCAGACUGGGUUCCCACGUGUCAUGCCACGCCCCUCAGGCCAGGAAGCUAGUUCAGAUGUUUGAUUUCAUCAAAGUCCUGCCUCUGAGGGCCAGCCAGACUCCAAGGGCACUCUCCAGGCACACUUCCGGGCUCCUGCCUGCAUUUGGACCUCUGCUUCCGGGCUCCUGCCCGCAUUUGGACCUCUGCUUCCGGACUCCUGCCUGCGUUUGGACCUCUGCUUCUUGGCCCUUUUCUUCAGCCACCACCUGCCACCAUGGACUUUGCCAGCACCCAGUACCCAGGGCGGUGUGGAGGCGGGAGCUGAGGGGGCCUACAUUGUCAUCCAGCAGUACAGGCCUCGUCAAGGUCAGAGGGCACAGGGAUCCAUCCCGCCCCUCCAUACUGCCCAUCUGAGAUGGACUACAGCCUGACUUAUGCACCUGUCCCUUGCUUCUCAUGGAGGGAGGGCUCGGAUUGCAUGGGUAAGGGCAUAUUCGUGACAGCCAGUCUGGGCCGUGCCCUCGCAGGCACUGAUCCAGCCCUCAGGCUCUUGGCUUUUUCUGAAUUUUGCCACAUGAUUCCUCCCAGAAUAGGACGCACCCUGGAAGCCCAUCCAGCUUUGAUGUCAGGCAGCCCUGAACCUCUGAAACUGAUGUCAUAGCAACCCUCGUGUCAUGAAGGUCAUGGGGACCCUCCGAGCCCUGAGUGGGCAUGGCUAGCAGCGUGCCCAGCCCACAGACGUUCACCAGCACUCUGGCCUCCCUAGUCUCCCCGCAGAGCCCUGGGGAGCUCUCUUCCCUUGGUGCUGUGCCCUACUGGAGGCGUGUCCCCAGACCCCUUGAUAGCUCUAGAAAACUCCGUGAGACUGAUCAGUAAGACCUACCCAAAUGGCUCUUGGAGUCACAGCCAGAGUGGUCCAGUUGAGGGAAGUAUCAAUGACGUUGGCUUAACAGUGCCGGAGAACGGGCUAGAUGGGCAAGGCGGGGCCCCACCUAGGUGGUGGGGUGCCGCCACAGGAGACGGGUAGACACAAUCACCGUAGUUUUCUGUGUCCUGGCUCGGGAGUCCUAUACCCAGGCAUCCCCAUCUCUGUUCUUCCAGCCUUGUGACCCAGAGCGAGAGGCCUACAGGCAGGACGAUGGGACCUGGUGGAAAGAACUCAGGACACCCCCACAGUCCAAGAGUGAGAUUGCCUCUCCAACGGCCCCCAUGACGGUGCCUUCCUCCGCUCAGCACGGGCCCUCAGUCAGCACUGCCUUUCGUGAAAUAACUUAAGCCUCAAGUUGAAGCCCCAAGUCAGUUUGAGGAAUAAAUGACUGUCGGUUA